AACACUUAUUCACCCACUUCAUGUUUUAGUCCUCACCUCCUAAAGCACUAUUUGAAUCUAAAAAAUACAGCAACUUCCCACUAGCUCUACUAUUUUUUAUUCUAUGACAAGCAAGCCAUCACACGCCACCAGUUCAUCCUAAUCCCCAAAUAAGUUCUAAUGCCUGGGUAGUUCGUCAGACUCAUGCCCAUUUAAGAACACCAAAUCUAC
rnacentral:lncRNA from 1 species